rnacentral:rRNA from 1 species
UGGGGAAUUUUGGACAAUGGGCGCAAGCCUGAUCCAGCCAUGCCGCGUGCGGGAAGAAGGCCUUCGGGUUGUAAACCGCUUUUGUCAGGGAAGAAAUCUUCUGAGUUAAUACCUCGGGAGGAUGACGGUACCUGAAGAAUAAGCACCGGCUAACUACGUGCCAGCAGCCGCGGUAAUACGUAGGGUGCAGGCGUUAAUCGGAAUUACUGGGCGUAAAGCGUGCGCAGGCGGUUUUGUAAGACAGAGGUGAAAUCCCCGGGCUCAACCCGGGAACUGCCUUUGUGACUGCAAGGCUUGAGUGCGGCAGAGGGGGAUGGAAUUCCGCGUGUAGCAGUGAAAUGCGUAGAUAUGCGGAGGAACACUGAUGGCGAAGGCAAUCCCCUGGGCCUGCACUGACGCUCAUGCACGAAAGCGUGGGGAGCAAACAGGAUUAGAUACCCUGGUAGUCCACGCCCUAAACGAUGUCAACUGGUUGUUGGGAAGGUUCCUUCUCAGUAACGUAGCUAACGCGUGAAGUUGACCGCCUGGGGAGUACGGCCGCAAGGUUGAAACUUAAAGGAAUUGACGGGGUCAUAGCUGUUUCCUG